UCAGUGUUUUCAUUUGAGAUCAAUGCAAAGUCCCUCUUCAAAGCCAAUAUCUAUCUUAAUAGCCGUUUUAGACAUGUUGACGGUACAAAUGGACUUCUGGAAGCCAUCUCCAAUGUCAAACAGCUGUCUCUUUCAACUCGUAAUUUGGUGGGUGGUGUUCCUGCUUUUGAUAAUCUGAACCAUUUGGAACUGACUCUUUGCGGUUUCUCCUUUUGGGCGAUAUCUAACAGAGUUUCUCAAGAGAUCACGGAAUCUAGAAUAUCUUGUUAUCAAACAUUUAAGUUGUCAGCAUUGCGGAAUCGAGCAUGAGGUCUUUACCCCUCCGGAGUUUGUGCCUGUUUGUAUGUUGUCACAUCUCAAGACUAUCACGAUAGCAAACUUCAAGGGAAGUCAGGAUGAUAUGAGAAUAGCUCAGUAUUUGCUAAAGUACAGUGAAGUUUUGAAUAAGAUGAUUUUUACCAUUUCAGCAAGUCUUCCGAGAGCAGAAGAGAAGGCAUUGUACAAUGAAUUUUUAAUGUUCGAACGGGGUUCAAAAACUUGUCAAGUAGAGAUAUAUAACUAGGAUGCUCUUCUUGGUUUUACCAGGAUUUUAUGUUCAAAUGUAAUUCAAGAUUUUGGAAGGACUUUUCUUCAAAUG